AUCCUUUUGUAGUUCAUAAGCAGUAUGAUUGGGUUUUCACACGUAUGCGUGAGAUGUGCCUCCCUCAAACCUUGUUAUGUCGGCACAUUACCUGUCUGACA
rnacentral:snoRNA from 1 species